rnacentral:rRNA from 1 species
AACGAACGCUGGCGGCAGGCCUAACACAUGCAAGUCGAGCGAACCCUUCGGGGUUAGCGGCGGACGGGUUAGUAACGCGUGGGAAUAUACCCUUUGGUACGGAAUAGCCUCGGGAAACUGAGAGUAAUACCGUAUGUGCCCUUCGGGGGAAAGAUUUAUCGCCAAAGGAUUAGCCCGCGUUGGAUUAGAUAGUUGGUGGGGUAAUGGCCUACCAAGUCUACGAUCCAUAGCUGGUUUGAGAGGAUGAUCAGCAACACUGGGACUGAGACACGGCCCAGACUCCUACGGGAGGCAGCAGUGGGGAAUCUUAGACAAUGGGCGCAAGCCUGAUCUAGCCAUGCCGCGUGGACGAUGAAGGCCUUAGGGUUGUAAAGUCCUUUUCAGAUGGGAAGAUAAUGACGGUACCAUCAGAAGAAGCCCGGCUAACUCCGUGCCAGCAGCCGCGGUAAAGUAUCGU